GGGCCCGUAGCUCAAGGGUAGAGCAGCACCCUCAUAAGGUGUUGGUUCCUGGUUCGAGCCCAGGCGGGCCCACCA
rnacentral:tRNA from 1 species